ACUCAAAGGAAUUGACGGGGGCCUGCACAAGCGGUGGAGUAUGUGGCUUAAUUCGAUGCAACGCGAAGAACCUUACCUGGCCUUGACAUGUAUCUAGUAGAAGGGUGAAAGCCUGACGAGGUAGCAAUACCAGGAUACACAGGUGCUGCAUGGCUGUCGUCAGCUCGUGUCGUGAGAUGUUGGGUUAAGUCCCGCAACGAGCGCAACCCUUGCGUCCAGUUGCCACUCCUUAAUUGGAAGCACUCUGGAUGGACUGCCUCGUUUAAACGAGGAGGAAGGUGGGGAUGACGUCAAGUCAGUAUGGCCCUUACGGCCAGGGCUGCACACGUACUACAAUGCCCGGCACAAAGGGAAGCAAGACCGCAAGGUGGAGCAAAUCCCAGAAAACCGGGCUCAGUUCAGAUUGAGGUCUGCAACUCGACCUCAUGAAGCUGGAAUCGCUAGUAAUGGCGCAUCAGCUACGGCGCCGUGAAUACGUUCCCAGGCCUUGUACACACCGCCCGU
rnacentral:rRNA from 1 species